rnacentral:rRNA from 1 species
GACGAACGCUGGCGGCGUGCCUAAUACAUGCAAGUAGGACGCAGUUGCGAACGGGUGAGUAACGCGUAGGUAACUGCCUCUUAGAGGGGGAUAACUAUUGGAAACGAUAGCUAAUACCGCCUACUAGUAGAUGGACCUGCGGUGUAUUAGCUAGUAGGUAGGGUAAUGGCCUACCUAGGCAACGAUACAUAGCCGACCUGAGAGGGUGAUCGGCCACACUGGGCAUGAGACAAGGCCCAGACUCCUACGGGAGGCAGCAGUAGGGAAUCUUCGGCAAUGGGGGGAACCCUAACCGAGCACCGCCGCGGGAGUGAAGAAGAUUUUCGGAUCGUAAAGCUCUGGUGGUAAGGAAGCGGUACUUAACCAGAAAGGGACGGCUAACUACGUGCCAGCAGCCGCGGUAAUUC